CUCAGAUUGAACGCUGGCGGAAUGCUUUACACAUGCAAGUCGAACGGCAGCACGGGGGCAACCUGGUGGCGAGUGGCGAACGGGUGAGUAAUACAUCGGAACGUGCCCAAUCGUGGGGGAUAACGUAGCGAAAGUUACGCUAAUACCGCAUACGAUCUACGGAUGAAAGCGGGGGAUCGCAAGACCUCGCGCGAGUGGAGCGGCCGAUGUCAGAUUAGGUAGUUGGUGGGGUAAAGGCUCACCAAGCCAACGAUCUGUAGCUGGUCUGAGAGGACGACCAGCCACACUGGAACUGAGACACGGUCCAGACUCCUACGGGAGGCAGCAGUGGGGAAUUUUGGACAAUGGGCGCAAGCCUGAUCCAGCCAUUCCGCGUGCAGGAUGAAGGCCUUCGGGUUGUAAACUGCUUUGUACGGAACGAAACGGCGAGCUCUAAUACAGUUUGCUAAUGACGGUACCGUAAGAAUAAGCACCGGCUAACUACGUG
rnacentral:rRNA from 1 species